GAUGAACGCUAGCUACAGGCUUAACACAUGCAAGUCGAGGGGAAACGAUAUUGGAAGCUUGCUUCCGAUAGGCGUCGACCGGCGCACGGGUGAGUAACGCGUAUCCAACCUGCCCACCACUUGGGAAUAACCUUGCGAAAGUAAGACUAAUGCCCAAUGAUAUCUCUAGAAGACAUCUGAAAGAGAUUAAAGAUUUAUCGGUGAUGGAUGGGGAUGCGUCUGAUUAGCUUGUUGGCGGGGUAACGGCCCACCAAGGCGACGAUCAGUAGGGGUUCCGAGAGGAAGGUCCCCCACAUUGGAACUGAGACACGGUCCAAACUCCUACGGGAGGCAGCAGUGAGGAAUAUUGGUCAAUGGGCGAGAGCCUGAACCAGCCAAGUAGCGUGCAGGAUGACGGCCCUAUGGGUUGUAAACUGCUUUUAUAAGGGAAUAAAGUGAGCCUCGUGAGGCUUUUUGCAUGUACCUUAUGAAUAAGGACCGGCUAAUUCCGUGCCAGCAGCCGCGGUAA
rnacentral:rRNA from 1 species